GAUGAACGCUGGCGGCGUGCCUAAUACAUGCAAGUCGAGCGAAUGGAUUAAGAGCUUGCUCUUAAGAAGUCAGCGGCGGACGGGUGAGUAACACGUGGGUAACCUGCCCAUAAGACUAGGAUAACUCCGGGAAACCGGGGCUAAUACCGGAUAACAUUUUGAACCGCAUGGUUCGAAAUUGAAAGGCGGCUUCGGCUGUCACUUAUGGAUGGACCCGCGUCGCAUUAGCUAGUUGGUGAGGUAACGGCUCACCAAGGCAACGAUGCGUAGCCGACCUGAGAGGGUGAUCGGCCACACUGGGACUGAGACACGGCCCAGACUCCUACGGGAGGCAGCAGUAGGGAAUCUUCCGCAAUGGACGAAAGUCUGACGGAGCAACGCCGCGUGAGUGAUGAAGGCUUUCGGGUCGUAAAACUCUGUUGUUAGGGAAGAACAAGUGCUAGUUGAAUAAGCUGGCACCUUGACGGUACCUAACCAGAAAGCCACGGCUAACUACGUGCCAGCAGCCGCCGUAA
rnacentral:rRNA from 1 species